rnacentral:rRNA from 1 species
GUCUACGGCCACGCUACCCUGAACAAGCCCGAUCCCUUCUGAUCUCAGAAGCUAAGCAGGGUCGGGCCUGGUUAGGGCUUGGAUGGGAGAUCACCUAGAAAGACCAGGUGUUGUAGGUG